rnacentral:rRNA from 1 species
UACGAGGGGGGCAAAUGUUGUUCGGAAUCACUGGGCGUAAAGGGAGCGUAGGCGGGCUUUUAAGUUAGGUGUUUAAUCCCGGGGCCCAACCCCGGACCAGGCACCUAAAACUGGGAGUCUUGAAUAGUGGAGAGGUCGGCGGAAUUGGGGGUGUAGCGGUGGAAUGCGUAGAGAUCCCCAAGAACACCAGUUGCGAAGGCGGCCGACUGGACACAUAUUGACGCUGAGGCUCGAAAGCAUGGGGGAGCAAACAGGG